rnacentral:rRNA from 1 species
GUUGAACGCUGGCGGCAGGCCUAACACAUGCAAGUCGAGCGGACGAACGGAGCUCUCGCCUGUCUUCAGCUGCGGGCGGGCGAGUAAGGCCCAGGAAGAUGACUUGCCUAUAGGGCUAACGUACGUUCGGGGGCGCGAAUAUCACAUCCGACAUUAUGUUGAACCUGGGGGAUCUUCGGACCACACCCUAUUUGAUGACCCUAGGUCGGAUUAGCUAGUUGGUGGGGUAAAGGCCUACCAAGGCGACGAUCCGUAACUGACCUGAGAGGAUGAUCCGCCACACUGGAACUGAGACACGGUCCAGACUCCUACGGGAGGCAGCAGUAGGGAAUAUUGGGCAAUGGGCGAAAGCCUGACCCAGCCAUGCCGCGUGAGUGAAGAAGGUCUUCGGAUUGUAAAGCACUUUUAGUAGGGAGGAAGGGCAGUAAGAUAAUACCUUGACGUUUUGACGUUACCAACAGAGAAAGCACCGGCUAACUUCGUG